rnacentral:rRNA from 1 species
GACGAACGCUGGCGGCGUGCUUAACACAUGCAAGUCGAACGGAAAGGCCCUGCUUUUGUGGGGUGCUCGAGUGGCGAACGGGUGAGUAACACGUGAGUAACCUGCCCUUGACUUUGGGAUAACUUCAGGAAACUGGGGCUAAUACCGGAUAGGAGCUCCUGCUGCAUGGUGGGGGUUGGAAAGUUUCGGCGGUUGGGGAUGGACUCGCGGCUUAUCAGCUUGUUGGUGGGGUAGUGGCUUACCAAGGCUUUGACGGGUAGCCGGCCUGAGAGGGUGGCCGGCCACAUUGGGACGGAGAUACGGCCCCGACCCCUACGGGAGGCAGCAGUGGGGAAUAUUGCACAAUGGGCGGAAGCCUGAUGCAGCAACGCCGCGUGCGGGAUGACGGCCUUCGGGUUGUAAACCGCUUUCGCCUGUGACGAAGCGUGAGUGACGGUAAUGGGUAAAGAAGCACCGGCUAGCUACGUG